rnacentral:rRNA from 1 species
UAUACGCCCUUCGGGGGAAAGAAUUUCGGUGAGGGAUCGGCCCGCGUUAGAUUAGUUAGUUGGUGGGGUAAUGGCCUACCAAGACUACGAUCUAUAGCUGGUUUGAGAGGAUGAUCAGCAACACUGGGACUGAGACACGGCCCAGACUCCUACGGGAGGCAGCAGUGGGGAAUCUUAGACAAUGGGGGCAACCCUGAUCUAGCGAUGCCGCGUGAGUGAUGAAGGCCUUAGGGUCGUAAAGCUCUUUCGCCUGUGAUGAUAAUGACAGUAGCAGGUAAAGAAACCCCGGCUAACUCCGUGCCAGCAGCCGCGGUAAUACGGAGGGGGUUAGCGUUGUUCGGAAUUACUGGGCGUAAAGCGCACGUAGGCGGAUUAGUCAGUCAGAGGUGAAAUCCCAGGGCUCAACCCUGGAACUGCCUUUGAUACUGCUAGUCUUGAGUUCGAGAGAGGUAAGUGGAAUUCCGAGUGUAGAGGUGAAAUUCGUAGAUAUUCGGAGGAACACCAGUGGCGAAGGCGGCUUACUGGCUCGAUACUGACGCUGAGGUGCGAAAGUGUGGGGAGCUAACAGGAUUAGAUACCCUGGUAGUCCACACCGUUAACGAUGAAUGCCAGUCGUCGG